UACGAAGGGGGCUAGCGUUGUUCGGAUUUACUGGGCGUAAAGCGCACGUAGGCGGAUCGUUAAGUGAGGGGUGAAAUCCCAGGGCUCAACCCUGGAACUGCCUUUCAUACUGGCGAUCUUGAGUCCGGAAGAGGUGAGUGGAACUCCUAGUGUAGAGGUGGAAUUCGUAGAUAUUAGGAAGAACACCAGUGGCGAAGGCGGCUCACUGGUCCGGUACUGACUCUGAGGUGCGAAAGCGUGGGGAGCAAACAGG
rnacentral:rRNA from 1 species